rnacentral:sRNA from 1 species
GCUGGGUGUGGUGGCACACACCUGUAAUCCCAGCAGCUCAGGAGGCUGAGGCAGGAGGAUAGAGUUCAAACCUGGCCUCAA